rnacentral:rRNA from 1 species
CCUACGGGUGGCAGCAGUGAGGAAUAUUGGUCCAUGGGCGCGAGCCUGAACCAGCCAAGUAGCGUGAAGGAUGACUGCCCUACGGGUUGUACACUUCUUUUAUAAAGGAAUAAAGUGAGUCACGUGUGCCUUUUUGUAUGUACUUUAUGAAUAAGGAUCGGCUAACUCCGUGCCAUAAUCCGCGGUAAUACUGAGGAUCCGAGCGUUAUCCGGCUUUAUUGGGUUUAAAGGGAGCGUAGAUGGGUUGUUAAGUAAGUUGUGAAAGUUUGCGGCGCAACCGUAAAAUUGCAAUUGAUACUGGCAGUCUUGAGUACAGUUGAGGUAGGCGGAAUUCGUGGUGUAGCGGUGAAAUGCUUAGAUAUCACGAAGAACUCCGAUUGCGAAGGCAGCUUACUAAACUGCCACUGACAUUGAUGCUCGAAAGUGUGGGUAUCAAACAGGAUUAGAUACCCCGGUAGUC